AAACCUCUUUGCCAAAGCCUGAUCUCAUCAGUUCUCUGAAGCUAAGCAGGGCUGGGCCUGGUUAGUUCUCGGAUGGGAGAUGACUGGGAAUACCACAGUGGGCC
rnacentral:rRNA from 1 species